GACGAACGCUGGCGGCGUGCCUAAUACAUGCAAGUCGAGCGGACGAAUCGAAAGCUUGCUUUUGAUUCGUUAGCGGCGGACGGGUGAGUAACACGUGGGCAACCUGCCCUGUAGACGGGGAUAACACCGAGAAAUCGGUGCUAAUACCGGAUAACACGAAAUGUCGCAUGACGUUUCGUUGAAAGACGGCGCAAGCUGUCGCUACGGGAUGGGCCCGCGGCGCAUUAGCUAGUUGGUGAGGUAACGGCUCACCAAGGCGACGAUGCGUAGCCGACCUGAGAGGGUGAUCGGCCACACUGGGACUGAGACACGGCCCAGACUCCUACGGGAGGCAGCAGUAGGGAAUCUUCCGCAAUGGACGAAAGUCUGACGGAGCAACGCCGCGUGAGCGAAGAAGGCCUUCGGGUCGUAAAGCUCUGUUGUUAGGGAAGAACAAGUAACGCAGUAACUGGCGUUACCGUGACGGUACCUAACGAGAAAGCCACGGCUAACUACGUG
rnacentral:rRNA from 1 species